rnacentral:snRNA from 1 species
AGCUUUGCGCAGUGGCAGUAUCGUAGCCAAUGAGGUUUAUCCGAGGCACGAUUAUUGCUCAUUGAAAACUUUUCCCAUACUU